CCCUCGCGGGUGCACCGCCGAC
rnacentral:snRNA from 1 species